rnacentral:rRNA from 1 species
UACGUAGGGUGCGAGCGUUAAUCGGAUUUACUGGGCGUAAAGCGUGCGCAGGCGGUCCACUAAGACAGGUGUGAAAUCCCUGGGCUCAACCUAGGAAUUGCGCUUGUGACUGGCGGGCUAGAGUACGGUAGGGGGGGGUGGAAUUCCUGGUGUAGCAGUGAAAUGUGUAGAGAUCAGUAGGAACACCGAUGGCGAAGGCAGCCCCCUGGGCCUGUACUGACGCUCAGGCACGAAAGCGUGGGGAGUAAACAGG